CAGUCGCCGCGGUAAUACCGAGGGUGCGAGCGUUAAUCGGAUUUACUGGGCGUAAAGCGUGCGUAGGCGGCUUCUUAAGUCGGAUGUGAAAUCCCUGAGCUUAACUUAGGAAUUGCAUUCGAUACUGGGAAGCUAGAGUAUGGGAGAGGAUGGUAGAAUUCCAGGUGUAGCGGUGAAAUGCGUAGAGAUCUGGAGGAAUACCGAUGGCGAAGGCAGCCAUCUGGCCUAAUACUGACGCUGAGGUACGAAAGCAUGGGGAGCAAACAGGAUUAGAUACCCCCGUAGUCCCUGUCUCUUAUAC
rnacentral:rRNA from 1 species